CGAAGGGUAAUCCUGUCAUUUUGUGUUUGGCCUUAAAUUGAGUCUUUUAACUUUCCAGGUGUAACGUGUACAACGCACCACGCGACUUUCUUUCCAGCUGAUCUUUUGCAUUCUUUACUUUCUUGGCGAGAAGGAAUUCAUUAUUAGCAGAAAGCUUUCGUUCUAUCUCUAUGUGUGGAGUAUCUAUCUAGACACUAAGGUCAAUGCAGGAGAUGGACUCACUGUAGUUUAUGCAGCACGGAGGUAAUCAGUGUGGUUCAAAUGCAUGGUCUGUUUGAUAGUGAACUGCACACAGCUCAUAUUAAUAGGUAUAUUAUUCGUGCGGAAGUGGCUGCAAGAAACAACAAUGUAACUUGAGAGAACUUCGUCAGAAAAAUCAUUGUUUUGUUGUUCAGGAUUAUUUCCAGAUGCCUCUACAAAUGGAAACUUGCACGCAAGAUGACUAAUCAAUAUGUAAAUAGUAUAUACUUCAUCCCAAUUUGAGUGUCUUACUUUCUUUUUUGGUCUAGAUUGCCUGUAUCUAUAUUUAGUAAGUUGACGAUUCAAAUAUCAUAUGUGGCAAGUUUAAAACCACUGGAUUCAAAGGACAUUUUAGUACAUUACACACAUCUUUAAUUUAGGACCAUAAGAUUCAAGAGUCUCUUUUUAUUCAUUAAACGUUGUGUCCAGUCAAACUAAGACACUUAAAUUGGGAGUAUUUAAACUUAUUGUGUA